GGGGUCUCAGGUUGCAGCUCUCCUGGGGGAUCUCCACCAUGGCCUGGGCUCUGCUCCUCCUCACCCUCCUCACUCAGGGCUCCGGUUCCUGGGCCCAGGCUCCCCUGACCCAGCCGCCCUCAGUGUCUGGGUCUCUGGGCCAGUCGGUCACCAUCACCUGUGCCGGAAGCAGCAAUGAUGUCGGUUAUGGUAGCUAUGUCUCCUGGUACCAACAACAACCAGGCAUGGCCCCCAAAAUGCUGAUAUAUGCUGACAGUAACAGGCCUUCCGGGAUCCCUGACCGCUUCUCUGGCAGCAAGUCCGGCAACACGGCCUCCCUGACCAUCUCUGGGCUCCAGCCUGAGGACGAGGCGGAUUAUUACUGUAGUUCAUAUAGGAGUGGUGGCAGUAACCACAGUGGUGCUAGUUCGUGGGGAAUCCUGCUGGACAGCAUCUCACACCUGAGGGCCUGCACUGAACAGAAGGUGGAGGAAGGGGGAAUUUCCUCUCUCUGCUUAAUCACGGGUAGCUGUCUUUUCCUGUCUUUGGGCACUGGCACUGUGGUUCCUCCCUUUUGGGACUGCUACCAGAGCUGA